rnacentral:rRNA from 1 species
GAUGAACGCUGGCGGCGUGCCUAAUACAUGCAAGUCGAGCGGACAGACGAGGCUUUUGCUCGGCUGACGUUAGCGGCGGGCGGGUGAUUCACACGAGUAUAACCUACCUAUCAGACUGAGAUAACUACGCGAAAGCGGAUAUAAUACCGGAUAAGAUAUUGAACCGCAGGGUUCAUUGGUGAACGACGGUUGUGCUGUCACUAAUUGAUGGUUCCGGGCCGCAUGAGCUAGUUGGUACGUUAACGGCUUACCAUGGCGAGGAUGCGUAGCCGACCUGAGAGGGUGAUCGGCCACACUGGAACUGAGACACGGUCCAGACUCCUACGGGAGGCAGCAGUCGGGAAUAUGCGGCAAUGGGCGAAAGCCUGACGGAGCAAGGCCGCGUGAGUGAUGAAGGUCUUCGGAUCGUAAAGCUCUGUUACUAGGGAGGAACAAAUGUGUAAUUAACCAUGCACGUCUUGACGGUACCUACUCAGAAAGCCCCGGCUAACUACGUG